AUUGAACGCUGGCGGCAGGCCUAACACAUGCAAGUCGAACGAGUGGCGGACGGGUGAGUAAUGUCUGGGAAACUGCCUGAUGGAGGGGGAUAAAUACUGGAAACGGUAGCUAAUACCGCAUACCAUCAGAUGUGCCCAGAUGGGAUUAUCGAGUUGGGGGGGUAACGGCUCACCAAGGCGACGAUCCCUAGCUGGUCUGAGAGGAUGACCAGCCACUCUGGAACUGAGACACGGUCCAGACUCCUCCGGGAGGCAGCAGUGGGGAAUAUGUCACAAUGGGCGCAAGCCUUAUGCAGCCAUGCCGCGUGUAUGAAGACGGCCUUCGGGUUGUAAAGUACUUUCAGCGGGGAGGCGUUACCCGCAGAAGAAGCACCGGCUAACUCCGUGCCAGCCGCCGCGGUAAUAC
rnacentral:rRNA from 1 species